GUGGUGGCAGCAGGGACAGAGGUGCUUGGGCAUUGGUUUGGUGGUCCCUGUGGUCAGAGAGGUGUCCGUGGUCAGGCUUGAGCCCAGAGGGACAUCCCUGACAAUUUGCUGAGGGCUGAACCCCCCAUCCCAGGCACAGGAGGGAAUCUGAGGGCACGGUCCCUCUGGGCUCCUGCCAGGACCACCGUACACAGCAUCCAACUGUCCUCAUCUCUCAUGCCUUUGGACAUGUUUCCAGCAACCCUCAAAAUAUUCUUCUUGUAACCCAAACCCCUCCAACCCCCCCAAAACCAGCAGCCCUUGAAGGGGGUCUUGCAAAAGGAAAAACUUCCCAGCAGCUCCGCUGUGGGAUCACAUAAACCAGAGCUGGCAGUGCCACAGCAUCCCUGUGCCAUGCCAAAAUCCCAUCUGGGACAUCCCUGGGAACAGGGAGAGGGUGGCAGUGAUGGGACACCCACCACACCAGCAGCACUCUGGUUAUUUUAUCAAAGCAGGAGCGAUUCCCAAACCCGGCCGACACUGAUGUCUGAGCCCCUGGAUGCACAUCAGAGGGGGUUUGGGAGGGGGCACAGCUGGCAGGAGCCUCGGGAGGGGCUGCAGGAGCUGCUCUGUGAGGUUUUCCUCCAGCAAACAGACCUCUGGGCUUAAUAAGCUAUUUGUAAAACUGGCUGUGGAUAAACAAGAGGCCGUGUGUCAGGCUGAAGGCGGCCUCGCAGGGCUGCGCCGCGCGGGGUGGGACCUCAGCACAGAAAUAUUUUCAAGAUAAACAGAGGAAAAUGAGUCCUGGAGGAGGCUGGAGCCACUGGCAGCAGUACGCUGCUCCUCUCCAAGAUUAUUUCGGGGCAGGAACUUGGCUUUCUGCACACUGCAGCUUUUUUUUAUUCUGCCUCUGAAGGGAACCUCGCGUGCUGCUGAUUCAGAAAUAAACCUGAGGAGCGGUGGGCACUGCAGGCAGCAGCGAGGAGAUGUGCAGAGCCCGGGGCUUGCAGGGGAGUUUUGGGCUGAGGGCGAGGAGCUGGGAUGCACAGCUGCUGCUGCAGAUCCCCCUGGUCAGAGCUGCCUUCCCUGGAGAACCCUUGGGCUCAGGAUAUUACCCCCUGGGGAAAUAAUCCUGUUAUUUGAAAUGUAAAAAAGAAUUCACAUGGACAACAAUGGAUUCCUAAAUGAACCCAACAACAGCCCCCAAUCCCAGUGCGGCGUCACUUGCCUCAGAUAGGGAAAAUAUUAAGUUUCCUUUCAAAAGGUUCUUGUCUCCUCUUUCUCUUCUCCUGCCCCAGGUAAGGUAAAAUGGGCUUCUUCUCUUCUUCAAGUGCAUCAAUUUAUUGAGGGAAUCCUGGAUAUGAAGGAAUUCAGCGGGGAGCAUGGGGGAGGCAGAUAUAUGUGUGUGUAUAUAUAUAUAUUUAAUAUAUAUUUAUGGGUGUCUCCCCUUAAUUUGGGGGUGGGAAGGGAGCCCUGGGAGGGUGGGAUGCGAGGGCCCAGCACGGCCCCGCGGGUUUCUGCUGGAGCUGGGAACCUUUGCCUUCCUUCGGCAAAGAGCUGCCGAGGUUCUUUGGAAACACUGUUCCCUAGAUCAAGAUCUUCACUGAAGGCAAAUAACAGCUCGUCUUUGCAACACCCAAACAUAAGCAACUAAUUUGGACCACCGAAAGGAAAAAGGGGGAGGGAAAAAAAAAAAAGAAAAGAAAGAGAAAGAGGAGGAAGAGGGAGGGGAGGGAAGAAAAUCAGAUACACUUGUAACCUGAUUACAACAGCCAGCUAUGUGUGCAAAAUCACAAUGCAGCUCUAUAAUUAAAUCUCUCUUUCCCCCUCCUGCCGAGCUCUUUCCUCUAACAGGCGCGGUACAAAAACAGUCGUUAGGACAUCAAAUUCCAGCUCCGACAAGAGGGGACUUUUUUGUCUAUAGCUGCUCGGCUCGUCUUUAAGGAAAUAAUAAUUAUAAGCCCAGUGCUGCUGGCUGACGAGCUUUGUGGAGCAGAAAGGGCUCGUCUUGUCCAAUCACCCCUUCCCCCACACAGAGGGCUGGGUGAUGGGAACAGAGAGGGGAUAGCCCUGGGAGCCAGCCCUGGACACCCCCUCCUUGUGCUGGAUCCAGAGGGAGAGGAAAGCCUGGGGUCUAACAAGAUGCUCGGAGUCGCUGAGCCCUGCUGAAUCCACCUCCUGUGUUUUAGCACCUGCAGUUUGGUGGCACAGGCACUCCCGGGUGGGUCUGGAUGUUUGGGAGUGCACAAAGCACCUGUGAGGGAUGUGAGGAACCAGUGGCUUCAGGGACAGCAGGAGAGGUCCUUCCAGAGCAGUUUCCCCUCUGCCAGAUCUGGGCUGCAGGGUGAUGGAGGGGUGCCAUGGAAAGGAUCAGGUCAAUGAACCCCCAAAGCAGCAGGGAAGGGACACCCAGCACGGUGGAUGGGAGCGGGGUGAGCAGUGCUGGCAGCCUUUCCCCAGCCCAGCCUGUUGAUUUACUCCACAUUGGUCACAGAGAGCUAUUCCCAUCCCUGUGACACCCAGCACGUGCUUUUGCUGGCAGCUGCGGGCUGGAUUCAGCCUCGAGGACCCAGUUCCUCGAGGGCAGGCUCCUGCUUGCUUCCUCGGGGUAUUUUUGGGAACAAGUCUUGCAUCCCAUCUUCUUUCCCACUGUGAGUCGAGGGCAGGUGUGUCGAGCUCCUUGCAACUGAUGCAACGACUCACAGGACGGCGAAGGGAAAAACCUGGCACCAGGAAAGCCUCCAAAAGGCCCCAAAGUGCAAGAUAACCACCAGUGAGACAGGAUUUAUCCACCACAGCUCAUCCUGGCAGCAGGCACGUGCAGGAGGGCACAACCGAGGGCGGACGCGAGCUUUGCAACGUGCGGCGUGCGACACGGAAACUCAGAUGCUGCUCCAAUAAAGCUGUGCAGGUUUGGUUUUAAUGGCAAUUAA